CGAACCCGUUAGGUGUUUUGCGAAGCAAAGUGUCGGCGGAACCGCCCCUGGAUAUGUCAUGUUCCGUUGUUUUCGCCAUUCGGGACGCGAUAAGCGCUAGUCACGCAGAAUUGGGCCACCAGGCGGCUUGGUUUGAUUUGGUUUGUCCAAUGACAGUGGAGCGGACUCAGCAGUAUUGUGGAUUUGAUAUUGCGCAGCUGCGUUAUCGCGACUAGGUACGCCGCGCUAGUGAAUUUUUAUUGUAGUUUCAGUUCCUGCCAGUAGUUACUUAUCCGCGAUAACAAACUUCCAUCUCCCAACUGCGCUCCUUAUGCCCGGCUCUUAAUAGAUUACAGUUAUAA